rnacentral:tRNA from 1 species
AAAUUUAGGAUAAAUACGUAAACCAACGGCCUUCAAAGCCGUAAACAAGAGCCCCCCCCCCUCUUAUUUUCU